rnacentral:rRNA from 1 species
UAGGCGGGCGCAGCUUACCAUGCAGUCGAGCGGUAACAGGGGUAGCUUGCUACCCGCUGACGAGCGGCGGACGGGUGAGUAAUGCAUAGGAAACUGCCCAGUAGUGGGGGAUAGCCCGGGGAAACCCGGAUUAAUACCGCAUACGUCCUUCGGGAGAAAGCAGGGGAUCUUCGGACCUUGCGCUAUUGGAUGUGCCUAUGUCGGAUUAGCUGGUUGGUGAGGUAAUGGCUCACCAAGGCGACGAUCCGUAGCUGGUCUGAGAGGAUGAUCAGCCACAUCGGGACUGAGACACGGCCCGAACUCCUACGGGAGGCAGCAGUGGGGAAUAUUGGACAAUGGGGGCAACCCUGAUCCAGCCAUGCCGCGUGUGUGAAGAAGGCUUUCGGGUUGUAAAGCACUUUCAGUGAGGAGGAAAAGUUAGUCCUUAAUACGGGCUAGCCUUGACGUUACUCACAGAAGAAGCACCGGCUAACUCCGUGCCAGCAGCCGCGGUAAUACGGAGGGUGCAAGCGUUAAUCGGAAUUACUGGGCGUAAAGCGCGCGUAGGUGGUUUGAUAAGCGAGAUGUGAAAGCCCCGGGCUUAACCUGGGAACGGCAUUUCGAACUGUCAGGCUAGAGUGUGGUAGAGGGUAGUGGAAUUUCCUGUGUAGCGGUGAAAUGCGUAGAUAUAGGAAGGAACACCAGUGGCGAAGGCGGCUACCUGGACCAACACUGACACUGAGGUGCGAAAGCGUGGGGAGCAAACAGGAUUAGAUACCC